GGGUGCAUAGCUCAGUUGGUAGAGCAGCUGACUCUAAUCAGCGGGUCGUAGGUUCGAAUCCUACUGCACCCACCA
rnacentral:tRNA from 1 species